rnacentral:lncRNA from 1 species
AGUCGCACUUUCCGAUCUUCAAAAGCUACUGUAAAACUCCUCGUACUCUCAAAAGAAUAACAGUAUGUCUUAAAUAUAUACCUUAACUUCAAACGGCUAUAACUUUUUCACCCUAACUCCAAAUCUUCUAAUUUUUGUACACAAAUUGUACCCCAAAUCCUAAACUUUACAAUCCUAGCUUGUAAUCUCCGAAUGCCUUCGAAAGAAGAACCCUAAUCCCUAAUAAGGCCUCGGACAGCCUCUUUGAAGCCCAUUAGGCAUGGUAUUCGACCAAUAGGAUAAAGUUCUCCAUUCCUUGCCUUCAUUCAACCAUGCUUUGCUUUUAUCCCUCCCAAUUAGCCUCCAAUUUCUUUAGAUUUUCAUCCUUAGGCUUCCACAUUCUCCCAAAGCUUCAUAAUAAACAUUUAGGUCUUAUAUAUAUAUAUAUAUAUAUAUAUAUAUAUAUAUUAUGUCGAAAUCAAAAUAAAUAAAGAAACAAAGUAAAGUUUCUUUUACCAACUCCUUUUAAUUUAAUCUACUAGCCACUCUAACACACAUCUAGAUUUAUUAACAUAUAAUAUGUUCUAACUAAUUUUUAUAUACUGUAAGCAUUUACAGUACGAUAAUGUGAAGGAUUUGUUAUUAUAUCUUUCCAAUCUGUGAAUGCUCAACAAAGCCAUAAGCCAAGCUA